AGGGCUGUAGUUAAAAAUAACAUUUGAGUUGCAUUCAAAAAGUAUUGAAUUAUCAAUCUUCCUUA
rnacentral:tRNA from 1 species